rnacentral:rRNA from 1 species
CAAAAAUUUGCGUCAUAGUCGAAGGACAUUGAAUGGUCCGGCAUAGAGGGUGCGACCCCCGUAGACGAAAUGUCGUGAACUCCAUUAAGAAGCACCCAAGUAGCACGGGGCCCGAGAAAUCCCGUGUGAAUCUGGCGGGACCACCCGCUAAGCCUAAAUAUUCCCUGGUGACCG